UACGUAGGGGGCAAGCGUUGUCCGGAAUCAUUGGGCGUAAAGAGCGCGUAGGCGGUCCGGUAAGUCCGCUCUGAAAGUCCGGGGCUCAACCCCGGGAGGCGGGCGGAUACUGUCGGGCUAGAGUCCGGAAGAGGCGAGUGGAAUUCCUGGUGUAGCGGUGAAAUGCGCAGAUAUCAGGAAGAACACCCGUGGCGAAGGCGGCUCUCUGGGACGGUACUGACGCUGAGACGCGAAAGCGUGGGGAGCGAACAGG
rnacentral:rRNA from 1 species